GGGGAAAUUCAAUACCGCCCCUAACGGCGGCGGUGUGCACUUUUCUCCCAGUAAGACGCUGUGAUCCAUUAGAAAUCGGACCAUGCCAAUGGUUAGUGGGCUAUCAAUGGGCUGACAUGAAGUUCAGUGGUGUCGAUGACGCGAUCCUAUACGGUUGUGUGUACGACCCGUUGAGCAUGUUGAUACUCGUAAUAGCUGUCUGAUGGAUUUUAAAGGUCAAUAUCACUGAUGUCUUUGUUGCAUCACCCAUUACGAUGGGAGUGGAUAUGAGUACCCGAUCAACAGUGGUUAAAUUUGCGAUACCUUUGGGACCCGUCUUGAAACACGGACCAAGGAGUCUAUCUAGUAUGCAAGUAAAUGGGUAUAUGAAACCUAUUUGCAUAAAAAACUUGACUUAU
rnacentral:rRNA from 1 species